rnacentral:rRNA from 1 species
UUCGCAGGAGGCAAGCGUUGUCCGGAAUUACUGGGUGUAAAGGGCGUGUAGGCGGGACUGCAAGUCAGAUGUGAAAUUCCCAGGCUCAACCUGGGGGCUGCAUCUGAAACUGUGGUUCUUGAGUGCUGGAGAGGAAAGCGGAAUUCCUAGUGUAGCGGUGAAAUGCGUAGAUAUUAGGAGGAACACAAGUGGCGAAGGCGGCUUUCUGGACAGUAACUGACGCUGAGGCGCGAAAGCGUGGGGAGCAAACAGG